GAGCAGGGCAGGGGAGGGUAUAGGGGACUUUCGGAAUAGCAUUUGAAAUGUAAAUUCAAAAAAAUUUUUAAAAAAAGACCAAGUAAGUAGAUUGAUGUAUCAGUAGAUCUCAAAACUACUAUUGAAUUGAAAGUAACAAGUAUUUUUAGUGUGAUACAUUUAUGAUAAUUGAAAGAUAUGUAAAUACAACUUUAUUAUGUAAUUAAAAGAUGAGAUGUGAAUUUACUUCCAUACUAGGAGUGUGGCUACUAUUGGGGAGGUGACGCUAGAGUAGUGGUUCUCAACCUUCCUUGUGUUACAACACUGAAAUAAAGUUCUUCAUGUUGUGACCACCAACCUUAACAUUGUUCUCACUGUUAACUUCAUGAGUUUAAUUUUGCUAGUGUUAUGAGUUGUAAUGUAAAUUUUUGAUAUGCAAAUGGUCUUAUGUCACCCCUGUGAAACGGUUGUUUGACCUUUCUAGGGGAUAUGACCCACAGCUUGAGAACUGCUGCUCUAAGGUAGGCCCUCCUCUCUAGAGAUUGUGUCCAUUAGCGUCAGCUUAUUUUUUAUACUGUACAGAGAAUGAACAGGUACUCUUUAGCAUCUAUUUAAGCUAGAAGGCAUGAUAUAAAUUUUAUUCAAUAUAAAUUUUAAUUGGCAACAACACAGAUAUUGUAAUGGUACUAUGUGCAUUUCUUAAAAAUACUUUUGCAAAUUUCAACCUGAAAAGUGUGUUAGUAAAUUUGCUGAAAGGCUUAGUAUAGCAUGUUUAUGUUUUUCCAUGUCUUCCUGUGUCAGAAGAUGUCUUGGCUUUCCAUAAAGAGAUAUAAACAUGUCUUUUUGUUAUUUAUGCACCUUUUAUGUGCAAUCGUGAAUGAACUGCACUAAGUAACAGUAACUAUUAAAUUUGUGUCUAAUUUACAAAGAUAAAAACCAGCAUAAAGGAUUACUAAACUACUUUGUCCAUCUGAUUUUUGUGAGGUAAAAUCUUGAUAGCAUUGUUUCUAGAGCAGAAUCUGAAGUAUUUCUCUUGCUGAGAUCUUUGUUACAUUGUUUUUUGUUGUACAAGUUUUCGAUUAGAGUAGUUUAAGUCAGUAAACAUCCAUGAAGUAAAAUUUGGUCUCUUAAAGUGAUUCUAGAAAUUUAUUCAUAAACUAUUCAUAGAGUUCUUGUUGACUAACAUAUUUGACGUGGGCUGCAUUUGACUAUAUACAUUUUACAAAUGUUAGUGAAGAUUGAAUAUGAGUGUAGUAAUAUCUCUGAGAACACAAGGAUUAAUUUUAAUAUAAAAUAAAAUGACAGUGAAAUGAAAUGGAAAUGGUAUAUAACCUUAGCUUUUCUUAAUGUGACAUGAGAAUAAGUAUCUCAAACAUAGUAUAAUUAAAAGUUAUAAUAACUAUUCUUGAUGUCUUUGAAUUUAAAUUAUCUUAAAUUAAGUAACAGAUUUAAAUUGCAUUUAUAAUUAUAUGGCAGUUUAUACUUUUUAAACAAAAAGCAUUUACCAAAAAUUAUCCCAAGUUUAGGGAACCUAAUUUAAAUUGAAAAACUUUAAAUAACCUUUAGUUAAUUAUUUUUAUUUACAUUUGUUAGUAGGAACUUAAAUCCAAAAAUAAUAACCUAUAUAUCUUUACAUGUAAAUGUCAAUCUAAUCAAAAGAUGACUGAAAAUUAAUGACUUUAUUUACAAAAAGGUCGUAGAAUUUUAGAUCUAAUUUUUUUGUUAAAAGAUUUCAUAUAAAUUAUAAGAAUAGCUUAAUUGUAAAAUUCAUAACGAUAAUUUAAAUUCAGAAUAUUUAAUUUAUUAUAAUUUCAGUUCAGAUAUAUAAUUAUGAAUAGUUACGAUUUUAAGUAUAUAGAAUUUGAAAUAAGUCACAUAACCUUUUAAGAUAAUUUUUAUAAUUAGGUGAGAACAAGGCAUGAACUAUUUCUACUUGAUUUUCUUGCUAAUAUUUACAGCUUAACACUAGUGUUAGUUCUUAAUUGAUAGGAAAGAUGAUGAUAAAGUAGUUAGCAAGUAUUCUUUUGUAGAAUAAUAUGUAGUGAAUUUUAAGAAUUAACCAUUGAAAAAUAAAAUGCUACUUCAAAGGUUUCAGAAGAACCUAGCCUGGUGGUUCAGGCCUGAAAUCCUGGGUACUAGGCUGGUGGAAGCAGGAGGAUCAAACGCUCAAGGAUAGCCUUACCAAUUAAAUACGCCCACACCCUAAACAAAGAGAAAAAGAGAAAGGAAAAGCAGACUGGGGAUAGAGCUCAGUGGUAGAACCUUGUCCAGCGUGUGUGAGGCCCAGGGCUUGUUUUCUGGUCACACUUUAAUGUGUGGGGUGGACAUUUCUAUGUAUCUGUGUUUGUAUUGGUCUGUCUGUGUAUAUAAAGGUAUUCUUAAUUCAUUGAUGUGUUCAGUUUUAUAGGGAAUAAUAGCUGAUUAACUCUAAAACUUUCAUAUAUUUUCUUUCAGAUAUAAAAUUUGAGCUAUUUUGAAAAAAAGAAUAGUGUUCUGAUUUGAGCAGUUGACCUUUAGGUUAAUUCUUUAGAGACAUGCAAAGCAGGCUGCAUUCUUGUCAGGUGUGAAUUUUAAAGGGCUGUUUUGGAGUGGGAAAAGAGUUGAUAGGAGCCUCAUACAAGGCAGUAUAUUUCACAUGGAAGAGAAACGACUAAGAUACUAAUUUGAGGUUGUAUUUCCAGAGCAGUGGCUAAUGCAGCUCCUGCAUUAUAGAUGUUUUGGAAUAAGUUUUUGUGAUCCUGACUCUUGGUUUUUGUGUUUAGAUAUUGUGGUUUUGGUUAUUAAAAUCUCCACAAUAAUGUUCACAUCCUCAUUGACACUGACAGAUUUAGAUGAAAGCCUUUUUUUUUUUUUGGAUGAAAAUAAAAAAAUAAUACCCUUAUGAUUUACUUUUACUAUUUAAAAUUUAUUUUUAAAGUAUAUUAAGUUUUAUUUUAUUUUGUUCAAAAUUUUGUUUACUUAUUUAUCUUUCAUAUUUAAAAUGAAAAAGUCACAAUUUGGGGAACAUUUUUUUGUAUGUGAAUAUGCUUUUUAAAGCCUGCU
rnacentral:lncRNA from 1 species